CGCCUGACUCCUAGCAGGAGGGGAGGCGGGAAAGCAGCUCAAGCCUCACCCACCGCCCUGCCCCCAGCCCCGCCACUCCCAGGCUCCUCGGGACUCGGCGGGUCCUCCUGGGAGUCUCGGAGGGGACCGGCUGUGCAGACGCCAUGGAGUUGGUGCUGGUCUUCCUCUGCAGCCUGCUGGCCCCCACGGUCCUGGCCAGUGCAGCUGAGAAGGAGAAGGAAAUGGACCCUUUUCAUUAUGAUUACCAGACCCUGAGGAUUGGGGGACUGGUGUUCGCUGUGGUCCUCUUCUCGGUUGGGAUCCUCCUUAUCUUAAGUCGCAGGUGCAAGUGCAGUUUCAAUCAGAAGCCCCGGGCCCCAGGAGAUGAGGAAGCCCAGGUGGAGAACCUCAUCACCGCCAAUGCAACAGAGCCCCAGAAAGCAGAGAACUAAAGUGCAGCCAUCGGGUGGAAGGUGAGAUGCUCACUGCCUGGACUGGCCCCUGUCACCAUCACCAUCUGCAUCAGGGCCUGGACAGGGGUUCAGGCAGGAAGGAUGGGGCUAGCUUUUGUAGUGGGUACAGCUUUUAUUAUGGGCCCUGCCCUGAGGAGCCUUCAGGAGUCUGAAAGGGACUGUGAGAGAGACCAGGACCAGAAACACCCGAAGUGUCCCACACAC
rnacentral:sRNA from 1 species